GUCGAACGCUGGCGGCGUGCCUAAUACAUGCAAGUAGAACGCACAGUUUAUACCGUAGCUUGCUACACCAUAGACUGUGAGUUGCGAACGGGUGAGUAACGCGUAGGUAACCUGCCUGGUAGCGGGGGAUAACUAUUGGAAACGAUAGCUAAUACCGCAUAAUAUUGAUUAUUGCAUGAUAAUUGAUUGAAAGAUGCUAUUGCAUCACUACCAGAUGGACCUGCGUUGUAUUAGCUAGUAGGUGAGGUAACGGCUCACCUAGGCGACGAUACAUAGCCGACCUGAGAGGGUGAUCGGCCACACUGGGACUGAGACACGGCCCAGACUCCUACGGGAGGCAGCAGUAGGGAAUCUUCGGCAAUGGACGAAAGUCUGACCGAGCAACGCCGCGUGAGUGAAGAAGGUUUUCGGAUCGUAAAGCUCUGUUGUAAGAGAAGAACGGGUGUGAGAGUGGAAAGUUCACACUGUGACGGUAUCUUACCAGAAAGGGACGGCUAACUACGUG
rnacentral:rRNA from 1 species